GAUGGGGCCAAACAGAAGAGAAGUUUGAAAUCAUUGUUAGUGGCCAAAAGCAAUUUUAGACUCCAUGAAAGGUCAAUUUCAAGAGUCAAAAGAAACCGAAAUUAUCAAUAUAAUUAAAAUAUGGCUUGUAAAAAAA